rnacentral:lncRNA from 1 species
CGCCUGAACAAAAGCAUGAUGGGUAGUGUUGUCCGAACAGACCGCUAGAUGGGGCUGAUCCUCCAUGGGAAUCUGGGUGGGUCGGCGCGUCGGUGGAAGGGUUCGUGAGAGGACUCGCGGCGUCUUCCUGCAGCCAGGCUUGGGUGAAGAGAUUAGUCUGUGGCCUUAUGAACAUUCUAAAGUUCAGAGGACCAAGAACUACCUGAAGUCAAAAGGAGCCUGGGAACUGAAUGCAUGUCAGCCAACCUUUGCAUCUAUGCCCCUAAGAAUGAGAAAUAACCUUCAGGGCCCAGCCCUAGCUGAGACAAGAAAUCAACUCUGA